rnacentral:tRNA from 1 species
UUAUCCUUAGUAUAAUAUAAUACAAUUCCCUUCCAAGGAAAAAAUUGACUCGCUCAACGAUACA